AUGGUAAUGGUUAGGGUCAGGUGCAAUACGUUCUGUCCAAGGUGGCUUUGUUCGCCUCGACACAACGGCUGCCCUUAGGGUCAGGGUGAGGGUCAGGGUUAUGGUAAUGGUUAGGGUCAGGUGCAAUACGUUCUGUCCAAGGUGGCUUUGUUCGCCUCGACACAACGGCUGCCCUUAACACGUCACACAGGUUUUGUUUUGUUGCAUCUUGCCAAAAACAACCCACAUUUCCACCAUCAACUCUCACCACACAACGAGACUCAUCGGUUUCAUUUUCUGACAGGAAAGAAGUUCAAAAAAGACAAGUGUUGGCACACAACUUGAGAACCGAGGAGGAGUGACGGAACGCCUGUCGUAAAGCUGAAGGCGUUUCCUCUUUAUCAUCUGUCGUAAAGCUGAAGGCCUUUCCUCUUCAUCUGUCGUAAAGCUGAAGGCCUUUCCUCUUCAUCAUCUGUCGUAAAGCUGAAGGCCUUUCCUCUUCAUCUGUCGUAAAGCUGAAGGCCUUUCCUCUUCAUCAUCUGAUUUUCCCUUCAGUGUUUUACUUUUAUACGUACAGAUACGUACAGAUUAGUGUUCACUGCAGACUUCAUCUUAGCGGACUGAAAUCCACUGAAUGGAACGUAUUUUGACUCUGAAGUGUGCCAUGGGUUUUUGUAUUCCACUUAUUUCCUCCUCUCCCUUCUGAAAGGCUGGACGCAGUCAGCCCUAGAGGACUGUUGUGUAUCUCUGCCAGCCGUUUAGGUAGUUAACCCACUGUAGGGGUGUAGAGGGAGGGAGAGAUGGACGAAGGAGGAGGAGGUGUUAGAGCCCCUAUCGAUUGUGUGACCUGGGUUUUCUUUUUUUUUUUUUUCUUUUUUUUGGUACUCACCUGAGCAUUAUACUGCCUCCUUCCUCCUCCUCUUUUCUCUCCUUACCUCUUUUUUUGGUACUCACCUGAGCAUUAUACUGCCUCCUUCCUCCUCCUCUUUCUCUCCUUACCUCUCCAAAAUGUUAGUGGAGAAAUAAAAACGAGCUUGACUUUUUGUUUCGAAAAGAGAGAGAAUGUGAAAAGCAAAAAAUGAAGUGUGUUUUCAGUAAGAGGGCGAUGAUGAUGAUGAUGAUUAUAUUUGUUGGUGUAGAAAAUAGGACAAAAUGAGAAAGUUGACCCCAAACCCUUUCCACAACCAUUCACAUCCCAUCUAGCUACCCCUCCAGGAAUAGGGUGACUGAACCUGUUUUACCCCAUUUGGUACAACCAAUGUCUUCUAUGGUACAGUUAUAUGGCACAGAACCUACUGUUAUGUUAUGGAAAAGGAAACGUUACCAUAACUACCAAGGCUGGAACUAUAGAACUAGAAUGAUAAUCAUUCUAAUUCUAUGGUUGGAACACAUUUUAAAGGCUGUACUGUGAUUUGUCUGCAAAAUUUUAAACUUUUAUUUGUUUAUAAAAAAACAUUGGAAUUUGAAAGGUUAUGAUGAUAUGCGCUGAAACAAACUUUGUUGCUUUCAUAUUCCGGGUACGUUUAGUUUGACCAAUGUUUAAUUUGUUUUGGUUUUGCUGCAUUGCUUUUUGGCUUUGAGCUAUUAGAUUUGACCAAUACAAAGGCUUUGUUUGGCCAAAUACUUUCUGUGAUUGAGAAGUCUUACCUAAUCAAUUAUCUAAUCAAUUCAAUCAAUCAGAGGGAUGAGUAUCGAUUAUCAGGCCUAUCGGCAUUGCUCAGUUUUUCUUACGAUUUAGUUUUAGUGAAUGAAGAUUCUGCUUUGUACUGUGCUGAUCUGAGAUUGGCCACUACGGUCACGUCCCAAAACACCAUUCUAGACAUGUACUGGACUUGCAUUCUCAGUAGUGUGCGACAAGCUACUAGUGUGCAUACUAAGUUGGGCCAUAGCGUUCUGAGUAAACGAUAACAAACCCUUGAGAAAAGAAUGGGAAACUCUGGAUAAUAAUACCUACGUAAUAUAUUACAGAGGAAGUGGAACUGCGUAAACAGUUGUAUUUUCUUUGUUUCAUCUAGUUUACAGAACAGAGCAGAAGUUAAAUCUCUGUAGUGUUGAUACUUUUGGCUGAGACUCCUAAAGACAGACGAGGGUUUCAAAUCAUUUUUAAACUAAACAGACAGAAACUUUUUUUCCAAAAGUUCGACUUGAAAUUUUGCAGUUUUGUAAAAAAAAAAAAUUAAAAAUAUUUUUUUAAAGUGAAAAGAAGUUGAACUCGCUGCCUAAUGUUUUGUAACUAUUACUAUUUUAUUUGCUGCUGUGUAGUACGAAAUAACAACUGGUUGAUUGAUGGCAACCGCCACAGUGAUGAGGAAGGUGUCAUUUUCAUUGCUACCUGUGUUUUCUUUCAGAAUUGAAUGGCUUUGUAAUUUAGCUUUACGGAACGUUCUCUUCAUACUGUGGAGUUGUUGAUCCUCAGAUGUGCAUUAUAUUUUCUCAGCAACGUACGUCUUUAGGGGGAAAACAAUUAAAAUCAGAAUGAUUUUUCAAAAUAACUGUUCUUGGUGGAUUCCACCCAACCCCCCUUUAAAUAGCAUAGUUGUUUUUCUGCAUGUUAAUGGCUCCUCAAGGCACCUUUUUCCUUGUCUUUAUUUCUCAUUUACUUCCUGGGGGGUGGGGGGGCUCUAUUGAAGGAAUGUUGAGCGUUGCAUAGUGUUUAUAUUUAUCACUGUUGUUGCUUU
ensembl:lncRNA